CACGUAGGGGGCGAGCGUUGUCCGGAAUUAUUGGGCGUAAAGAGCGCGUAGGCGGUCUGUUGCGUCCGCUGUGAAAACUCGGGGCUUAACCCCGAGCCUGCAGUGGAUACGGGCAGACUAGAGGUAGGUAGGGGAGAAUGGAAUUCCCGGUGUAGCGGUGAAAUGCGCAGAUAUCGUAAGGAAGACCAGAGGCGAAGGCGAGUCUCUGGACAGCAACUGACGCUGAGGCACGAAGGCCAGGGGAGCAAACGGG
rnacentral:rRNA from 1 species